rnacentral:rRNA from 1 species
AGUGAACGCUGGCGGUAGGCCUAACACAUGCAAGUCGAACGGCAGCACAGUAAGAGCUUGCUCUUACGGGUGGCGAGUGGCGGACGGGUGAGGAAUACAUCGGAAUCUACUUUUUCGUGGGGGAUAACGUAGGGAAACUUACGCUAAUACCUCAUACGACCUACGGGUGAAAGCAGGGGAUCUUCGGACCUUGCGCGAUUGAAUGAGCCGAUGUCGGAUUAGCUAGUUGGCGGGGUAAAGGCCCACCAAGGCGACGAUCCGUAGCUGGUCUGAGAGGAUGAUCAGCCACACUGGAACUGAGACACGGUCCAGACUCCUACGGGAGGCAGCAGUGGGGAAUAUUGGACAAAGGGCGCAAGCCUGAUCCAGCCAUACCGCGUGGGUGAAGAAGGCCUUCGGGUUGUAAAGCCCUUUUGUUGGGAAAGAAAAGCAGCAGGUUAAUACCCCGCUGUUCUGACGGUACCCAAAGAAUAAGCACCGGCUAACUUCGUG